AUGGCAUCAAUUCGCAACAUUGUGUGCGCAAAGUUGGCGUCACUUCACAAUGCUCUGAAGCAGUUGCAUGGCUACAGACCAGCAGCCUCGGAAUCCAUGCAACUUACGCUACGCCCAUUCCGCGAGAAUGGGACGCCUUUGCCACGAAGGAAAGCAAGGCAAUUCUUAUUGACUGUGAUAAUCCCUCACCCGUGGUUCAGGGCCAUCUGUAUCAAUGAUAAGGCUGUGGGUCACGUUGUGCUCAGACAGGGCACUGGGAUUCAUAGCUGUCGUGCUGAGCUGGGCUAUGCUGUUAGCAGAAACUACUGGGGCGUGGGCAUUGCUACUGAAGCUGUCAUGCGUGCUGUACAAGCUGGGUUCUCGGAUAUUCAGGGCUGAGACGUGUAGAAGCCAUGGUGCUGCCUGAGAAUCUGCCUUCGCAGAGGGUGCUCGAAAAGGCUGGCUUUACUAAGGAGUGCUUGCUUCGACGUUAUCUUAAAAUGCAUGGGAAUAUCCGAGACUGUUUUCUUUACAGCUGUGUUUUGCCUGCUGCUUCGUCUUCUUCUGCUUGAUCAUAUGAGGUCGUGCCCACUAUGGAUGGAUUAACAGUGCUGCAGUCUUUGGAUCGAAGACAGUAUGGGUAUAUUUAUAGUAUGGUAGAAUAAGAUGAAGUAUAUAAUCUUCGUCGCAGUUCAAGGUACUUACUACCUAGUGGGUAUCUCCAUUCCGAAAAUAGUAUGAGUAUAGGUGUGCAAGUUCCCGUACUAUUUCUAUUACUAUUACUAUUAUAAUUGGAGCAGUGCAAUGUAUGCAA